CGCCCGCCCCCGAGGCCACCCGGCGGCGGCGGAGGGGAAGCCCCGGCCUUCGGCUUGCCGGGAAAAGGCUCCCGUGCGGCGGGAAGGUCCCAGCACGGAGACCCGAGAAGGAUGGGGGGAUUCUCAGUGCCCCCCGCCCUUCAAUCCCCUUCAGCCGUCACGGCACCCCGCGAGGGUCUCGAUGCCCCGCAGACGUGGCCUCGGGUGGCGGAGUGGCGGUGGCGUGUCCCAGUAGCAGGUAGCAGCUCUGGCACCUCUCGGUUUUGAUACCCGAGUCUACCCGCUAUGUGUCCCCUUACAAAACAAGACAACAUMCCACAGCUUCAUAAAACUUAAUCUGAGGAAUGUUUUGAUUUGAAACCAGUACAGAAACUUUGGAAUCUCAUACUUCACCAGGAGAUUAAAAUCUGGAGCUCCUUUCUUCUGCCUAUCUGGGACCGUUUUGACUGACCCUGCCAUUCUUGAGAGGAGGUCUUGAUGAAGAGUGCAGGUGGUGUUUCCUCUUCCUUGCCAGCUAUGGAGUCCAUUUGCUGCCUCUKUUGGUUCCACCUGAAUGGUUAGAGAGGAGCCCUUCCUGCAUGAGCUGCCGGACAAACAACUGCUGUGCUCCACUCGAGGUUGCUCAGGUGCCCUGGAGCCAUUUAAAUCUCCCACGGYUGCUCCUAGCACCACCUCCCUCUUGCUUGGUUGGCUACUGAGG